rnacentral:rRNA from 1 species
UACGUAGGGGGCAAGCGUUGUCCGGAUUUAUUGGGCGUAAAGGGCGUGUAGGCGGGAAGCUAAGUCAGAUGUGAAAUCCCGGGGCUCAACCUCGGAACUGCAUAUGAGACUGGCUUUCUUGAGGAUAGGCGGAGAAAAUGGAAUUCCACAAGUAGCGGUGAAAUGCGUAGAUAUGUGGAAGAACACCUGUGGCGAAGGCGAUUUUCUAGCUUAGACCUGACGCUGAGGCGCGAAAGCAAGGGGAGCAAACAGG